rnacentral:rRNA from 1 species
GACGAACGCUGGCGGCGUGCUUAAUACAUGCAAGUCGAACGGAAAGGCCCUGCUCUUGUGGGGUGCUCGAGUGCCGAACGGGUGAGUAACACGUGAGUAACCUGCCCUUGACUUUGGGAUAACUUCAGGAAACUGGGGCUAAUACCGGAUAGGAGCUCCUGCUGCACGGUGGGGGUUGGAAAGUUUCGGCGGUUGGGGAUGGACUCGCGGCUUAUCAGCUUGUUGGUGGGGUAGUGGCUUACCAAGGCUUCGACGGGUAGCCGGCCUGAGAGGGUGAACGGCCACAUUGGGACUGAGAUACGGCCCAGAAUGCUACGGGAGGCAGCGGUGGAGAAUAUUGCACAGUGGGCGGAAGCGUGAUGCAGCGACGCCGCGUGCGGAAUGACCGGCUUCGGGUUGUAAACCGCUUUCGCCUGUGACGAGGCGUGAGUGACGGUAAUGGGUAAAGAAGCACCGGCUAACUACGU